rnacentral:rRNA from 1 species
GACGAACGCUGGCGGCGUGCUUAACACAUGCAAGUCGAACGAAGAGCGAUGGAAGCUUGCUUCUAUCAAUCUUAGUGGCGAACGGGUGAGUAACGCGUAAUCAACCCGCCCUUCAGAGGGGGACAACAGUUGGAAACGACUGCUAAUACCGCAUACGAUCUAACCUCGGCAUCGAGGAAAGAUGAAAGGUGGCCUCUAUUUAUAAGCUAUCACUGAAGGAGGGGAUUGCGUCUGAUUAGCUAGUUGGAGGGGUAACGGCCCACCAAGGCGAUGAUCAGUAGCCGGUCUGAGAGGAUGAACGGCCACAUUGGGACUGAGACACGGCCCAGACUCCUACGGGAGGCAGCAGUGGGGAAUCUUCCGCAAUGGACGAAAGUCUGACGGAGCAACGCCGCGUGAGUGAUGACGGCCUUCGGGUUGUAAAGCUCUGUUAAUCGGGACGAAAGGCCUUCUUGCGAACAGUUAGAAG